UACGAAGGGGGCUAGCGUUGCUCGGAAUCACUGGGCGUAAAGGGCGUGUAGGCGGUUGGGUAAGUGGGAUGUGAAAUGCCUCGGCUCACCCGAGGACCGGCAUCCCAAACUGCCUGACUUGAGUAUGGGAGAGGAUGAGGGAAUUCCUGGUGUAGCGGUGAAAUGCGUAGAUAUUGGGAGGAACACCAGUGGCGUAGGCGACGCUCUGGCCAAAUACUGACGCUGAGGCACGAAAGUGUGGGGAGCAAACAGG
rnacentral:rRNA from 1 species